rnacentral:lncRNA from 1 species
GUGGCUUCCGGAUUCUCACCAAUCGAAGUCGCGGUUCGGUCGGGGCUGGUGGUGUUCGCCUCACUCUGAUUGUUAUGGCCGCGGCCGUCGCUAUGGAGACAGGUACGUUGUGACUUGCACCCCGAGUCUUCACCCCAAGGGAAUGGUCCUACGCCCCGAAAUUCCCUCCCUUUUCCCUUUUCCUGCGCUGUCUUUCGGGUUCAACUUGGCAUCCUUAGAGUUGGGACCGGCGGAGGAGAAGGCUGUGCUGCUUCUCAGACUAUGGUCUGUGAAAACAUCUUUGCUCCUGGGUUGCUCAAACCCCUACUCCAACCCUGGCUCUUGGGGCCGUGCAGGGCCGUGGGAGAGGACUGAGACCUUCCACUGUCUGUGCUGAAGGUACUCCCAAGAACUUGCCCGAAAUAUCGAUAACCUGUGUAUUCUAAUGCGGACACCGCCUUCUCUCCAUUGUUUAAUCACUUUGCAUCAUGCUUCGGUUUUGUGUAGCACAUUGAUUUUGCUUAACGUAAUCACAGUUGAUAGUUGUGGUUAUAACAACUUAGGGAACCGCACAGCUAUUACAGACUGUCCAGUGAUCUCCGCUAACAAAGUGGCCUGCAGGUGGUAAAUUCCCAUUCAACUUAUUUUUUCCUCAAUUAACUUUAAAGGAUUUCUUUACUAUUUUUUGUUUUACUAUUUUUGUUUUGGAAACAGGGCCUCAUUACUUAGUGAAUAUAUAUAUAUAUAUAUAUAUAUAUAUAUAUAUAUACACACACACACACACACAUAUAUACACACACGCAUAUACAUAUAUCUUUAAUUUCUAAGAAAGUCUCUUCUGCACUUUGAUAUUUGUCUUUUCUCCUAGAUGAUGCUGGAAAUCGGCUUCGGUUUCAGUUGGAGUUGGAAUUUGUGCAAUGUUUAGCCAACCCAAACUACCUUAAUUGUAAGUUAAGUACAUCACUAACUUAAGCAACUAGCUCUUAAUUUCUGAGAAGAGAUGCAGUUUGUAAUACUAUUUAUUACUUCGAUGUGUUUGAAUGGGAUUUUAUUUGUUCUGGUCUGUAAGUUAACUGGGCAAACAAAGGCUUGUGUUUUUAAUUCCUUGUGUUCUGUUGGUAGGGAUGUUAAGAGCUACUUUGUUUUAGAGAUUACUAAUCAGUAGUCCAGCGGUUGGUUGACAUACGGAUUGUUUCUUUGUGUCUUUCAGUUCUUGCCCAAAGAGGUUACUUCAAAGACAAAGCUUUUGUUAAUUAUCUUAAGUAUUUGCUUUACUGGAAAGAACCAGAAUAUGCCAAAUAUCUAAAGUAAGUUUAAUUUUUAUAAUCCUAAAUCUGUGUAUACUUUAUCAUAAAUACAAAGUGCUGAUACUGAGCAGUUUUCUCUGUGUGGGAAUGGAAAAUGAUAUUUUGAAUCUUUCUGCUUUUAGUUAAUGUAAGAUACUGUCAUCUGUAACUUAGAUUAUUUUAGGAAUUGCAUUUAUUUCUGCUACCAUUCUUACCUCACUCCCUUCAAACAGAACCAAACAACUGUCUUCAUGGGAGCCAGCUUACUCUCUAAGUAAUAUAAGCCAGAACACACCACUUCUGUUCAUGCAGGCUAGCUAAGAUCCAGUCAACUGGUUUCAGACUAUAGUUCUAAUGUAAUUUGGUGUCUAACCUUGUCACUUAGCACUGCCCUUGUCUUUCUGGAUUUUUAAUGCCUACCAAACUAUAAUCUAGGAAGGUAGGAAGUAUUGUUUUCUGGGAGUUUUAGAGGUACUGCCCUUCUUUAUAGUGAGUGUUCUUUGUUUCGAGCACUGUGCUAAAUGUAUUGUACACAUUAACUCACUGUAAAAGAACAAACACGGACACUAUCAAACUCAAUAGCUUUGACUU